GACGAACGCUGGCGGCGUGCUUAACACAUGCAAGUCGAACGGAAAGGCACUGCUUUUGUGGGGUGCUCGAGUGGCGAACGGGUGAGUAACACGUGAGUAACCUGCCCUAGACUUUGGGAUAACUUCAGGAAACUGGGGCUAAUACCGGAUAGGAGCUGCUGCUGCAUGGUGGGGGUUGGAAAGUUUCGGCGGGUGGGGCUGGACUCGCGGGUUAUCAGCUUGUUGGUGGGGUAGUGGCUUACCAAGGCUGUGACGGGUAGCCGGCCUGAGAGGGUGACCGGCCACAUUGGGACUGAGAUACGGCCCAGACUGGAACGGGGGGCAGCAGGGGGGAAUAUUGCACAAUGGGCGGAAGCCUGAUGCAGAAACGCCGCGGGCGGGAUGACGGCCUUCGGGGUGUAAACCGCUUUCGCCUGUGACGAAGCGUGAGUGACGGUAAUGGGUAAAGAAGCACCGGCUAACUACGUG
rnacentral:rRNA from 1 species